AUACGUAGGUGGCAAGCGUUGUCCGGAUUUAUUGGGCGUAAAGCGAGCGCAGGCGGUCUCUUAAGUCUGAUGUGAAAGCCCCCGGCUCAACCGGGGAGGGUCAUUGGAAACUGGGAGACUUGAGUGCAGAAGAGGAGAGUGGAAUUCCAUGUGUAGCGGUGAAAUGCGUAGAUAUAUGGAGGAACACCAGUGGCGAAGGCGGCUCUCUGGGCUGUAACUGACGCUGAGGCUCGAAAGCGGGGGGAGCAAACAGGAUUAGAUACCCUGGUAGUCCACGCCGUAAACGAUGAGUGCUAAGUGUUGGAGGGUUUCCGCCCUUCAGUGCUGCAGCUAACGCAUUAAGCACUCCGCCUGGGGAGUACGGCCGCAAGGCUGAAACUCAAAGGAAUUGACGGGG
rnacentral:rRNA from 1 species